CAAUAGCGUAUAUUAAAGUUGUUGCGGUUAAAAAGCUCGUAGUUGGAGUUCUGCCAGGUGCCGCCUGUCCGCCCCAGUGGUGAGUACGUGGCGCGCAUUUGGCCCUUUCAAGGGGAGCGUAUCUGCACUUUAUUGUGUGGUGCGGGAUCCUUGACUUUUACUUUGAGGAAAUUAGAGUGUUCACGGCAGGCAAUCGCCUUGAAUAUAUUAGCAUGGAAUAAUAACAUAGGAUCUUUGUCCUAUUUUGUUGGUUUCUAGGGCUGAGAUAAUGAUUAAUAGGGAUAAUUGGGGGCAUCUGUAUCAACGCGUCAGAGGUGGAAUUCUUGGAUUGCGUUGCGACAAACUACUGCGAAAGCAUUUGCCAAGGAUGUUUUCAUUGA
rnacentral:rRNA from 1 species